rnacentral:tRNA from 1 species
UUUGUUUUAGAGAUACUUCAGUUGCAAACUGAAGGGACCUUUUUAGGCUAAA